rnacentral:rRNA from 2 species
UAGGGAAUAUUGCACAAUGGGGGAAACCCUGAUGCAGCAAUGCCGCGUGAAGGAAGAAGUAUUUCGGUAUGUAAACUUCUAUCGAUGGGGAAGAAAAAAAUGACGGUACCUGACUAAGAAGCCCCGGCUAACUACGUGCCAGCAGCCGCGGUAAUACGUAGGGGGCAAGCGUUAUCCGGAUUUACUGGGUGUAAAGGGAGCGUAGGUGGUUCGGUAAGUCAGAUGUGAAAGCCCGGGGCUCAACCCCGGGACUGCAUUUGAAACUAUCGAACUAGAGUGCAGGAGAGGUAAGUGGAAUUCCUAGUGUAGCGGUGAAAUGCGUAGAUAUUAGGAGGAACACCAGUGGCGAAGGCGGCUUACUGGACUGUAACUGACACUGAGGCUCGAAAGCGUGGGGAGCAAACAGG